GGAUCGGAGACGACAGCCACAACAACAAUUUGGGCAAUGUCCGAGCUGAUGAGGAGCCCACACAUAAUGGCUGCCACACAGUCUGAAGUUCGAGGAGUCCUCCACGGUAAGACUGAGGUGACUGAGGCUGACAUCGAUGGCCUGCUGCACUACCUGCAGAUGGUCAUCAAGGAGACCUUCAGGUUGCAUCCACCGGUGUUGUUUCUCAUGCCGAGGCUUUGCACUGACCAAACAAAGGUCAUGGGCUAUGAUAUUCCACAAGGCACCACGGUAUUCGUGAAUGUGUCGGCAAUCGAUAGGGACGAGAAUAGCUGGACUAAUGCGAGUGAGUUCAUGCCCAAGAGGUUUGACGAUGAAAAGGUUGAUUAUGGUGGUACGGACUUCAGAUUCCUCCCUGGCGGCACUGGACGGAGAAUGUGCCCUGGUAUGAUGUUUGGAGUGUCAAACAUCGAGAUGGCUCUUGUGAGCCUUCUCUAUCACUUUGACUAGAAGCUUCCCGAUGGUGGGAACCCGAAGAACCUUGAUAUGGGUGAAGCAUAUGGGAUCACAGCUCGUCGUAGGACCGAGCUUGUGUUGGAAGCUACUGUUUUUGUGCCUUAGUUUGGUUUGUCUACAUGA
rnacentral:rRNA from 1 species